CAAAGAGAACGCGAAACCGUUAGGAGGGAAGCGAAUGCAGCCAGUGCGAGACUCGUCAGGUUCAGGAGUAGCCGCAACGUCGCCUGUUUGGAGGCCUAGAUGGUUUCAAAGGGUAAGCGCGAGGUGGCACCUCUGCAGUCCUGCGGGGCUCUUGCCAACGGCAGUGGUCGGCGCCCCUGAGCCGUGGGGGUAAAGGUGACUUGUCUCGCGACCUCGCGAAGCGAGCCGAGAGCUUACAGCCCUUCGGCAAUGGGUGUCUGGCGACUGAGGAGAGUUUUGGUCACUUUUUGACCCGGAACGACGCAGGCCUCCCAACUUCGAAAGGAGAGGGGUGGGCUGGCCUCUUCCUCUGGACGUGCGAGGCCGAGACCCGGGACUGCAUUGCAGUGCCGGGAACUCGGUUCUUCUUCGACCGUGGGAGUCAGAGCGCACCUGCGUCUGGCAGUUGGCAAAACGUGGCUCCAUCCGU
rnacentral:sRNA from 2 species